AAUACACAAAUGAGCUGAGAACAAGGGAAACCACAGUUCCCAGUGCAGCGGAUGCCGCUGUUCGGAAUGGCUGGGCAGGGCUCAGCCGUGGCUGGGAGGAAGCGGCACUAUGCUCCUUCAGCCUCCCUCUUUUUUCUUCCUUUUUCCUCCAUCUCCAUUAUUUUUCCCAACGUCACCUUCACUCUCCCAUGUUCUCCCUCAGUCUCCAUCAUUUUUUCCUCACUGCUCUUCAGUUUCUGUCUUUGUCACCCUUCAUGCUCUCAUAUUCAACUUCAAUCCCCCCUUUUCCCUUGAUUUUCCUCCAUCUCCAUUUUUCCCCUCGUGUGCCUUCAUUUUCCCUCUUCCUUGCUCAUUUCCAUUGCUCUCCCUUGUUUUCCUUUUCUCUCAUUUCUUCUCAAUUGCCACAUUUCCCUCACCUUUCCCCCAGUCUUCCUAAUUUAACCAUCUCAUUUUCUCCACUGUACCCCUUUUACCUCAGUUUCCCUUUUUCUUACCUUGCCAGCCCUCAUUUCCUUUCAUUUUCUCUUCACAAACCUUCACUUAUCCUCGUUCUUAUUUCUCCCUGUUUUCUUCCCCUUUCUCUCUCCUGUAUACCCUCAUUGUUCCCAAUUUUCCCUCACUCUCUUUUCUCUGGUUCUCCCUCAUUUUCCCUCUUUAUCCACAAUUUUCCCUUUAUCUUCUCGAUUCCCCCCCCCCCUUCAAUGUUCCUAAUUUUUCUGCCUUCUCCCUCAUUUUCCCUUGUUCUUCCACUUCUCCCCUCAAUACCCCAAUUUUCCUUAUUUUACACCCCUUCUCCCUCAUUUUCGUUCAGGUUUCUCUCGUUCUCCCUCAGUGUCCCUUAUUUUUCCCUCAGGCUCUCUUUCUCCUCAUACACCAUUGGUUUUCCUCGUUAUCACCCCAUUUUCCCUCAUUUUCUCUUGGCUUCCUCUGUUUCUUUCAUUUCACCUCAAUAUCCCUUAUUUUUCUCUCACAUUCCCCUUUCUCAAAUCAUUUCCCCCUCAGUGUCCCUCCUGCAUUCCCCCCACCUUCCCUUUUUCCCUCAUUUUUCCUCCAAACUCCCUCAUUUUCCCCUCACACACCUUCACUUUACCUCUUUCUCCCUCAGUUUCUCCUUGGUUUCUUUCAUCUUUUUUUUGUCCUUGUCCUCCCUCAUUUUCCCUCAAUGCCCCUCAUUUUUCUCCACUUUCUCCCUCAUUUCCCCCCCCACACCUUCUCUUUCUUUCUCCAUUUUCCCCUCACACACCUUCUUAUUCUUUCUCUCCUUUUCCCCACAGUUUCUCUAUUUCUCCUGUCUUCCAUUUUUCCUGUUUCCUAUUUUCCUCCAGCGUCCCCCCAUUCUUCCCCUCAGUUUCUCUCAUUCUCCCCCAACGUCCCCCCUUUCUCCUUCAUUUUCCCUCACACACCUUAUCCUUCUUUCCCCCCCAUCUUCUCUCAUUUUCUCAACAUCCUCCCAAUUUUCCUCUCACACUCCUCCUCUUUCUCCCCCAUUUUCCCCUCAGUAUCUCCUAUUUUCCUUCAACAUCUCCCUUUCUCCCCUAUUUUCCCUUCACACCUUAUCCUUCUCUUUCUCCCAAUUUCCCCUUCAAUUUUUCUUAUUUUCCCUCAACAUCUCCCUCCUUUCUCCCCCAUUUCUCCCUCAGUUUCUCUCAUUUUCCCUCAGCGUUUCCCUUUCCCCAUUUUCCCCUCACACACUUUAUUCUUUCCCCCAUUUUCCUCUCAGUUUCUAUUUCCCCUCUUCCAUUUUCCCUUCAGUGUCCCAUUUUCCCUCAACCUCUCCCCUCUUUCUCCCACAUUUUCCCUCAGUUUCUCUAUUUUCCCUCAGAAUCCUCCAUCUUCCCUCAAUUUCUCUCAUUUUCCCCUCAUCCCUCUCCUUUCUCCCCCAUUUUCCCCUCAGUUUCUCUAUUUCCCCUCAGUCUCUUCCAUUUUCCCCUCAGUGUCUCAUUUUCCUUCAGCCUCUCCCUGUUUCUCCCCCAUUUUCCCCUCAGUUUCUCAAUUUUCCCUCAGAAUCCUCCAUCUUCCCCUCAAUUUCUCUUUUUCCCUGUGUCCCUCUCCCUUCUCCCUCAUUUUCCCUCAGUUUCUCUAUUUCCCUUCUUCCAUUUUCCCCUCAGUGUCUCAUUUUCCCUCAGCCUCUCUCCUUUCUCCCCCAUUUUCCCUCAGUUUCUCUAUUUUCCCUCAAAAAUCCUCCAUCUUCCUCUCCAUUUCUCUCAUUUUCCUCGUGUCCCUCACCUUUCUCCCCCAUUUUCCCCUCAGUUUCUCUAUUUCCCCUCAGUCUCUUCCAUUUCCCCCUCAGUGUCUCAUUUUCCCUCAGCCUCUCCCCUUUUUCUCCCCCCCAUUUUCCCCUCGCACACCUUCUCCUUCUUUCUCACCCGUUUUCCCUCAGCCUCUCCCCUUUUCCUCCCCCAUUUCUCCUCACACACCUCCCCUUUCCCUCAGCACCCCUCUCUCCCACCUCCACCCGCCUCCCUCCGCUUCCCCUCACACACCUUCAUUCCCCCCCCAUUCCCCCUCCCGCCCUUCCCGGCGCGCACAGCACCGCGAUGGAGACCGCGGGGCGGCUAUUGGGGAGCGGUGCCCGCGCAGCGCCCGUCGGCGACGAACAAUAUCCCGUGUUCCGUCUGCAGCGCGGGGCAUUUGCAAUGCAAAUAGUGCGAGGGAUUCCUUCAGAGAACAGCGCUUGUUGCCGCUCACUUCCAGUGCAGGAUGCAGACUGCCCUCCCACUCUAGCUCAGGACACUGCAAUUCCCCAUCUAUGCUGACAUCUCAACUCACUGCUCCAGCUUUCAAGGUGCUCUGUGACCAGGGAUGGGAUUCGAGUGUGAACUUGGCCACUUCUGAGUUAGGUAUGGGAAAACUCAGCUUCCACUCUGAUAGGCAGCCCAACGUCUAUCAUGUACUUCAACAAAACUGGACUACACUGAAGGAAUUGGGCAGUUAAAAAGAAGCCAAAGGUAGAAGAUUUGCCAGGCUCUGUAGGAGGGUGUUGGGAUUUUAGAUGUCUGGUAGUGCUGGGGAAGGUGUAGCCAGGAGCCACGCAGGCUUCCUCCAAACUUCUCAUUUUGCAGGGACAUCUCAAGCUAACGAGCUGUCAGCUGUGUGCCUUCGCACCCAAGGCAGCCGUGGGCUGAGCUCCUGUUUCUUUAUAUCUAUUCCAGCAACUUCUGAGUUUUGCAAUAAGUGCCUGCAAAUCCAAUUAGCUACUUUCUUUGUGGCACUGUAGUCUGGCAAAGAUCUGCUGUGUUGCUGCCAUCUACAGUAGGGCCAGUGCCAAUGGAUAAGAAACAGAUCUGAUUUGCAUAUUCAAAUAUGCAAAUGGACAAUGACAGCUCUCCCUAAUUUCUGUUUGGGCUUUUUAUUGCAAAAGCGUUGCUUCUGAGAUCCUAGUCUUGUGCUCAGAGGUGUGUGUUUCAUCCUGCUUGGCCCUCGCUGUGCCAAGGGGUGGUUCUGUCCCACGAGAGCCAGGGAUGCUGGAAAAUGAAGUGGAAAAAAUACUUUGUAUUGCACCUGUUGGCCAAGUAAACACAGGAGACACCCAGACUGCUUACUUGCCAGGAUCCAAGCAACAUCUCUCAUUUUGCAAUGAGAGUAGUUUCCUGUGGGCUUAGCACCACUCUUUGAGUUGGCUGGCUCACACCUCUGCCAUAAAGCCCUAUGAUUGAUUGAUAUGUAUGUGUGUAUUAUGUUUGUGUUACUGCAAUGUUCUGUAAGUCUUGCUCUUCCUAUUCUUGGAGAAACAAGCUUGCUUCGCUGUUGAUUGCCAUUCACCAUUAUUUUCUCAUUACUGUUUUAGUUACAUCUUCCCUUUUUCUGCUCUGAACCGAAGACCACAAGUUCUGUGGUCAGUCUGUACUUUGAGUGGCUUGGAGAGCUGCCAGCACUUAGAGUCAAACAGCUUAGAAAAAUAGUGAUGUUGUAAUGGUUCUAUGGACUUAAAGACACUGAGCUUGCAUUUGAGCAGAGUUUCUCUGAGAAAACCCACUCUUCAAUUCGUAUCUGCAUGCAAUACUACUGAGUGGAAAGACCUUUAGGUUCUUCUCUGGACCUCUGUAAGUCACUUACCAGCUGCACAGUGAUCACAGUGGUCCUUGUCUAAUUUUGUGUAGCAAUGUUUGAUGAGCCAAAUACUCUGUGGAGUUUCUGGGAUGUAUAUAACUACAAUCAAAACAGAGAACUAAUGAUAUUUGAGGUAGUAAGGGUUGGUAUUUACCAUGGGUUCACCAACAAUAGUGCUAUAUCCUUACUUACAGUCUCAGAAGAAGUCCUGAAUCUUAAGUCAGGAGAAGAUUUGGUAUUCAGGACAUGCAUUUAACACCAGGAUAAUGCAGCAAAAGUCCAAAUUGUUAAUGGCCAAAACCUCUGAUUGCCAGAACAAUGUUCCUAGCCACAACUAGCUGCAUCUGGGGAAAAAAUUACAGGCAGCUUGGAAAUUCUUUAGUUCCCUUAUUAAUGAAGGACUUAGUAAAAAGAAAAAAAGCCACCAAAACCACUGUAAUACAAUUGAGUUUAACUAAGUUCUUUCGUGCCUGAGGAAAAUCUAAAUUAUAGCUUACUAUAGGUUCUGAAAAAUGCAGAAGUCUUUUAAUGGGCAAUAACCCUCUGAAACAGAAGGAAGAGGGAAAAUUUUCUCAGUAAGCAGGAACACAAUGAGAAUUUAUUUGAUGCUUUCUGUGUAGUUAGUGCUGGUGAAAAGAGCCAGAUGAAUAGUCACAAAUACGUCAUGUCCUUUGCAGAUGCAACAUGGGCAGCACAAGCGUCCUCAAACCGCCCCACCAAUGUGCUUCAAUUCUGAAUAAGGAGAACCAGCUUUCUGGGUGAGAAAGGAGUCUGUCUCUAUUCAGUCCCUGACCCUUCUGCUCAAGGCUGUUAAUGAAGGGGCCUCAUUAGCACCAAAGGUGAGGUUGGCAUUAUAAUGUAGCUACUGGCCUGCCACAGGCUGAGCUGAAACCUAUCAAUUCGUUCUGUCAGAUGACGAUACCUUUCGUUAGCACUCUGCAGACACAGGUCAGGUUUGGCCAAAUGAUGUAAGAGGCUGUGUCAUGCCAAUCUCACCAGCUGGCUGGACCUGCCAUGAAGAGCAUUUCACAGCCUGGAUUCGUCCAGCACUGAAUACGAGCUGCUGGCAGAAGCUCAGGCUGAAGAAGACAAGUCUAAGCACCUUAAGGAGCAAACACAGUCAUGGUUCAAUAGAAAGAAGGGAGAUUCAGUGCUGACAUUUGUGUCUGCUUUGCCUGUGCCUUGUUUUGGUUGAUGCCAAAGUCAUUGAGGGAUGCUCAUCUGUGUGCUCAGAGAGAGGCCACCUUCUGACAGGGAACUGUGACCCUGGACAGGAUAACCUUUAGAGCAUUAAAUAAUACAAGAUGGGGAGUGAAGUAGCUUGAAAAAAAGGACAUGGCAGGAUGAGAUCAGCAGCAGAAUCUGACCGGCAUCAAAAAGCCUGUUCUGAAUCAUUUCCUGGAUUGAAAAGAGUGUCCAAAAAAGGAGCAGGACUUAUUAUUUCAGAUAAAUAUAUUGUCUGAAAUACAGCCUCUCCAUAGCCAAGGCAUUCUCAGUGUCUCGAGUUUCCCAGGCCUAACGUGCAACAAUCCUGUGGCCACACACUCAUGCAUGCCUUGUUUCUGAGCAUCCCAAGCUCUGGCUCACAGUGUGGUGCCUUUUCCUCUUGGGGACUGGUGUUUCUGCUAUUUCCAGCCCUAAUCACUCAGCCUGCUGGUUUACAGAGCAACAGGCCCUUUCCAACAAAAGCAGGUACCUAGCCUAUAGUUUGAUCCUUACUAUAAUGAAAGCAGGUUGUGAGACAUCCCAGAGCAGCAUUUCAGAACAUGUAACACUCAAAUUAAUGUGAAUUUCUGGUUUUUGUGGCUCCUCAGUCAGCUGCUACAGUGAGAGUUUCCACCAAAACCAGGCUGUUUUACUGAAAUGAGCUUCUUUGUGGCUUCCACCUGUCUACACAGCAAACGGAGGUGGGGUUGCCACAUAUGUUAGUCUAUGCAAACCAGCUCUAAUCUAACUAGCUCAGGUAUGAUAGCAGGUGAGAUAAUCCCCCACACUGCAGUGCAGGCUAUGCAAACGUUCCUGUGACUCAGGGAAUUUGGCUGGCAGUACCAUGCUGAAAUUUCUAUCACUGAAACUUAAUCAUUAUCACUGAUAUCACUACCUGUGAGACAAUAGUGCACCUGAUUGCUGCAAAGUCAUAUCUUGGCACUCCUGUAAUGCCUUGGAGCUUGACUUUGUUCCACUGUGGCCUUGCCAGCAUAGUUUCAAGGGAGUCAGGAUGGGAUCUAAAACAACACACACAUGCAACAAAUACUGUUUCAGCCAACGCAGUGUGAACUGAAGACUCUCUGCAGUUAGACAGUGGAGGCUGAGCUGUAAGAAAUUCUGUCCCUUUGUUACUCAGGCAUCAGUGCUAGGCAUUGUAAUACAUGCCCGUGAGUUUAUUCAUUACAUACAUUUUAUAUGCCACCAAUAUUUUGGAUUAAUGAAGAAUACAAUCAAUUUGACACAUUUCAUGCAGUUUUGCAAUGCAUUAUGUAAACACUGCAGAUGCAGGCUGUUUUCUCCCACUGCCUGCGGAUUUUUAUAUGCUAUGAAAUCUAUUUUAAAUAUAUGCAUGAAAUGUGUCACGAAACAUCUGACAUAUGUGGAAAACAUAUUACUGUACCGUAUGGGCAGUGUAGAAGGUCACUGAUGAACAGCUUGAAAACAGCAAUCAUUUGCAUAUAGAUAUAUAGCUGUUUAUACUGUGAUCCCAUCAUAGGGGAAUGGGGUCCCAGGUCUGCGUGGGUCACUGGCAAUGGCAGCAUUGUUGGACUUGUGAUGCAUAAUGUGAUGGAAACAAAUGGAAGUAGCUAGGAUGCUUGCUGCCUGGACAUUUUCAUCAGUUCCUCAUAAGAGAGCAGUAGAUAAAGUCCUGUGGAAGAUAAGGGAGAGCAGAGUCAUGUUUUUAGUGACACUUCAUCAUAGUUUGAUCAUUAAAAGUUGCCCUUGUUCAAGGCACUUCUCUGUGCCGAGUGUCACAGAGCAGAUCCUGUUCUCUCUUUCAAGUAUCCACUCCAGGUUGGACUGAAUAGAGUUAGUAUGCAUUAGGGAUGGUACAGACGGGGUCAAGCCCUGCCUUUAAUCUCUGUGUAUGUCUUUCUGUCGAGAUGAUUCAUGUUUUUCAGUGUUACACCACUAGAUCUUUAAGUCAGAUAGGAUGAAUGGUGAUGAAGAACAAAUUUAACUUGUUGCCGUUUUUGCUCCAUUUCACAGAUUUGGUUUUAAUUUCACUUGGCAGUGCUCUGGUGGAUGUUAGUGCUUGGCAGUAAACAAUAAAAUCCCACAUAUAUCAGUUUUUGUGUUUUCA
ensembl:lncRNA